AUUUGCAUGUGAAGUUGUGAACAAAAAUUUCAAGUGUGCUUCAGAUCGAUGGCUAAAAAUGUAAACUCUUUAGAAAUUGUCGUUAAUUUUAUAAAUCAGUAUUUACGCAGGUUGAAAAACACUAGAUUCACAACAAAAAUGUUGGCGGAACCUGAAGUUUCAGCUGUUCCACACGUUUGCUGUAAAUCUAGAACACCACCAAGGCUGCUUUGUAGGAGACACACUGAAUAUUUCCAUAGUUCGAGACGAUGUUUCAUCAAUUUUCCGGGAAGUUCGAAUUUGGACAGACGAAAACAGUUUAAUGGAAGAAAAUUAGUUGGAUUCUCCAUGCAACAAAUGUACGAUGUUGUCUCCGAUGUCGAACACUACAAAGACUUUGUGCCCUUCUGCAAGAAAUCACUAGUUCACCGGAGAACAGCUGAUCGACUAACAGCUGACCUCAUUAUCGGUUUCCCGCCAAUUGUCGAAAGCUACACAUCACAUGUUACAUUAGUGGCGCCCAACGUGGUACAUGCCGAAUGCAAAGACGCAACACUUUUCGACCACCUAGUGACCAGCUGGAAGUUCACGCCGGGUCUCAGCAACCAUCCGCUGUCCUGUGUCAUCGAGUUCCAGAUUUCAUUUGAAUUUAAAUCGUCGUUACACUCACAUUUGGCCAAUUUGUUCUUCAAUGAGUUGGUGAAACAGAUGGAGAAAGCUUUUUAUAGUGAGGCAGUUAGACGCUAUGGGAAACCAUCGAUUCCUUCUAUUAAACUGAAACUUUUGGAUAGUAGAAGGGCAUAGGAUAGGUUAGGUAACAUCAAAAUAUUUUGUGAAACAGAUUGAGAAAGUGUUCUAUAGUGAGACAGUUAGAUGCUAUGGGAAACCAUCGAUUCCUUCUAUUAAACUGAAACUUUUAGAUAGUAGAAGGGCAUAGGUUAGGUUAGGUAACAUCAAAAUAUUUUGUGAAACAGAUUGAGAAAGUGUUCUAUAGUGAGGCAGUUAGAUGCUAUGGGAAACCAUCGAUUCCUUCUAUUAAACUGAAACUUUUGGAUAGUAGAAGGGCAUAGGAUAGGUUAGGUAACAUCAAAAUAUUUUGUGAAACAGAUUGAGAAAGUGUUCUAUAGUGAGGCAGUUAGACGCUAUGGGAAACCAUCAAUUCCUUCUAUUAAACUGAAACUUUUGGAUAGUAGAAGGGCAUAGGAUAGGUUAGGUAACAUCAAAAUAUUGAAACAGAUGGAGAAUGUGUUCUAUAGUGAGGCAGUUAGACGCUAUGGGAAACCAUCGAUUCCUUCUAUUAAACUAAAACUUUUGGAUAGUAGAAGGGCAUAGGAUAGGUUAGGUAACAUCAAAAUAUUUUGUGAAACAGAUUGAGAAAGUGUUCUAUAGUGAGGCAGUUAGACGCUAUGGGAAACCAUCAAUUCCUUCUAUUAAACUGAAACUUUUGGAUAGUAGAAGGGCAUAGGAUAGGUUAGGUAACAUCAAAAUAUUGAAACAGAUGGAGAAUGUGUUCUAUAGUGAGGCAGUUAGACGCUAUGGGAAACCAUCGAUUCCUUCUAUUAAACUGAAACUUUUGGAUAGUAGAAGGGCAUAGAAUAGGUUAGGUAACAUCAAAAUAUUGAAACAGAUUGAGAAAGUGUUCUAUAGUGAGGCAGUUAGACGCUAUGGGAAUCCAUCAAUUCCUUCUAUUAAACUGAAACUUUUGGAUAGUAGAAGGGCAUAGGAUAGGUUAGGUAACAUCAAAAUAUUGAAACAGAUGGAGAAUGUGUUCUAUAGUGAGGCAGUUAGACGCUAUGGGAAACCAUCGAUUCCUUCUAUUAAACUGAAACUUUUGGAUAGUAGAAGGGCAUAGGAUAGGUUAGGUAACAUCAAAAUAUUGAAACAGAUUGAGAAAGUGUUCUAUAUUAAGGCAGUUAGACGCUAUGGGAAACCAUCGAUUCCUUCUAUUAAACUGAAACUUUUGGAUAGUAGAAGGGCAUAGGAUAGGUUAGGUAACAUCAAAAUAUUGAAACAGAUUGAGAAAGUGUUCUAUAUUAAGGCAGUUAGACGCUAUGGGAAACCAUCGAUUCCUUCUAUUAAA
rnacentral:misc_RNA from 1 species